rnacentral:misc_RNA from 1 species
GAAAUGCGAUAAGUAAUGUGAAUUGCAGAAUUCAGUGAAUCAUCGAAUCUUUGAACGCACCUUGCGCUCCUUGGUAUUCCUUGGAGCAUGCCUGUUUGAGUAUCAUGAAAUCUUCAAAGUCAAUCUUUUGUUAACUCAAUUGGUUUCUACUUUGGUAUUGGAGGUCUUUGCAGCUUCACACCUGCUCCUCUUUGUUCAUUAGCUGGAUCUCAGUGUUAUGCUUGGUUCCACUCGGCGUGAUAAGUUAUCUAUCGCUGAGGACACUGUAAAAGGUGGCCAAGGUAAAUGCAGAUGAACCGCUUCUAAUAGUCCAUUGACUUGGACAAUACUUUUAUGAUCUGAUCUCAAAUCAGGUAGGACUACCCGCUGAACUUAAGC